AACCCAACUAACUAUGGUUCUCCUUUCUUCUUCUUCGAUUGAUUCGUUGAAAUAUUUGGGCUAGCUUCGUUGCUUUCUCCGCCACCUCUCCUCCGAUCAAUCUCCGGCGAACCACCGAUCAUUCUCCGGUAGGGCAGAGAAAUUAGGAACAAUGAGUGAGGUAUUUGAAGGGUACGAGCGUCAAUACUGUGAGCUAUCAGCGAAUCUUUCGCGGCAUUGCACUGCGGCUUCUGCUCUUGAUGGAGUUUCAGCGGAUGCAACUAUGGGGAAAUGAGUGUUGAAGAACCCAUGUGAUAAUUUUUUGGCUUAAAUAUGUUUUUAAUCCUUCAAGUAUGAGGUAAAUUUAUUUUUGGUCU